UAAACACUUUGUAAAGAUGAUGAGCAAAUGAACUAGCUAGCGUCAUACAAGCAAGUUGGUAGUUUCAGUUUAAUAUAAUAUACGGUGACCAACAACCACCCUAGUAUAAAAUCAUCUGCUCCUCCAACUCUAUAGCUACAUUCACCAUUUAAAUUGAUCAACGAAUAUUAGUUAUGAGCAGUGAUCAGAAUCUACCUUCAGCAGCAGAUGCAUCUUCAGACCCCCUUGCAGCUCCGUCAUCAGAAGGACACCCCACAAGAGAUGGCAAUCCAGCACCCGCCGCGGCAUCGGGUUGCUGUGGUGAGGAUUUCUGGGAAUGUUGUUGUGCAAUCUUGUGUUGUCUUUGCCAACUCGCUGAAAAUAAAUGAUAAGACAUGUAUAUAUAAAUCGUGGGACUUCAGGUGAUCACAUCUAUGUUCAGUGUGUAUAAAGCUGGCUUGAAUUUGUACGCUAUACUUUUUAUAAGUUUGCUUAUGUGUGUUGAAAUUUGGAGUAGUGAUAUAUGAAAUUUUAUAUAAAAUGAUAUAUGAAUUACGGUUUGGCUAGUGUGUGCCCAUGGACACAUGCUAAGCGCGAAAAUUUUUGUAUUUGGGAGAUUUUGAUUGGUGUGGUUGGUGCAUUUGCAGGGGGUCCACCAUUAUCAUGAAAUAGGAGCCAAUCAAAAUGAUCCAAGCACAAAAUUUUCCGUGCUUAGCAUGUGCCCAUGGGCACACCAUAGAAAAACCGUAAUAUUCAAAAUUUUAUAUAGAAUGAUAUAUGAAUAUGUAUGCUAUACUUUUUAGUUUGGUUAAUUAGGUGUGUCUUUGAAA